rnacentral:rRNA from 1 species
GAUGAACGCUGGCGGCGUGCCUAAUACAUGCAAGUCGAGCGAACGGACGAGAAGCUUGCUUCUCUGAUGUUAGCGGCGGACGGGUGAGUAACACGUGGAUCACCUACCUAUAAGACUGGGAUAACUUCGGAAAACCGGAGCUAAUACCGGAUAAUAUUUUGAACCGCAUGGUUCAAAAGUGAAAGACGGUCUUGCUGUCACUUAUAGCUGGAUCCGCGCUGCAUUAGCUAGUUGGGAAGGUAACGGCUUACCAAGGCAACGAUGCAUAGCCGACCUGAGAGGGUGAUCGGCCACACUGGAACUGAGACACGGUCCAGACUCCUACGGGAGGCAGCAGUAGGGAACCUUACGCAAUGGGCGAAAGCCUGACGGAGCAACGGCGCGUGAGUGAUGAAGGUCUUCGGAUCGUAAAACUCUGUUAUUAGGGAAGAACAGAUGUGUAAGUAACUGUGGACAUCUUGACGGUACCUAAUCAGAAAGCCACGGCUAACUACGUG